rnacentral:rRNA from 1 species
AAACUUAAAUGAAUUGACGGGACCCCGCACAAGCGGUGGAUUAUGUUGUUUAAUUCGACGCAACGCGAAGAACCUUACCAGGCCUUGACGUACUCGGCAAAGCUCUAGAGAUAGAGUGGAGGUUAUCCGGGAUACAGGUGGUGCAUGGUUGUCGUCAGCUCGUGUCGUGAGAUGUUGGGUUAAGUCCCGCAACGAGCGCAACCCUUGUCUUUAGUUACCAUCAUUCAGUUGGGGACUCUAGAGAGACUGCCGGUGAUAAACCGGAGGAAGUGGGGAUGACGUCAAAUCAUCAUGCCCCUUAUGGCCUGGGCUACAAACGUAAUACAAUGGCGUAUACAAAGGGAUGCGAAAGGGCGACCUGGAGCAAAACUCACAAAGUACGUCUCAGUUCAGAUUGGAGUCUGCAACUCGACUCCAUGAAGGCGGAAUCGCUAGUAAUCGCGGAUCAGCAUGCCGCGGUGAAUACGUUCUCGGGGUUU